CCUACGGGGGGCAGCAGUGGGGAAUAUUGCACAAUGGGGGAAACCCUGAUGCAGCGACGCCGCGUGAGUGAAGAAGGAUUUCGGUUUGUAAAGCUCUAUCAGCAGGGAAGAAAAUGCCGGUACCUGAUUAAUAAGCCCCGGCCAACUACGGGCCCGCAGCCGCGGUAAUACGUAGGGGGCAAGCGUUAUCCGAAUUUACUGGGUGUAAAGGGAGCGUAGACGGCAGGACAAGUCUGGAGUGAAAUGCCGGGGCUUAACCCCGGAACUGCUUUGGAAACUGUGCAGCUAGAGUGCAGGAGAGGUGAGUGGAAUUCCUGGGGUAGCGGUGAAAUGCGUAGAUAUUAGGAGGAACACCAGUGGCGAAGGCGGCUUACUGGACUGUAACUGACGUUGAGGCUCGAAAGCGUGGGGAGCAAACAGGAUUAGAUACCCUAGUAGUC
rnacentral:rRNA from 1 species